rnacentral:rRNA from 1 species
CACGCCGUAAACGAUGGGUACUGGGUGUAGGGGGUGUUGACACCUUCUGUGCCGCAGCGAACGCGUUAAGUACCCCGCCUGGGGAGUACGGCCGCAAGGCUGAAACUCAAAGGAAUUGACGGGGGCCCGCACAAGCGGUGGAGCAUGUGGUUUAAUUCGACGCUACGCGAAGAACCUUACCGGGGUUUGACAUCACCUUGCAAUCUGUGGAAACACAGAGUUCUCUUCGGAGACGAGGUGACAGGUGG